rnacentral:rRNA from 1 species
AGAGUUUGAUCCUGGCUCAGAUUGAACGCUGGCGGAAUGCUUUACACAUGCAAGUCGAACGGCAGCACGGGAGCUUGCUCCUGGUGGCGAGUGGCGAACGGGUGAGUAAUGUAUCGGAACGUACCCAGUCGUGGGGGAUAACUCUCCGAAAGGAGAGCUAAUACCGCAUACGUCCUGAGGGGGAAAGCGGGGGACCUGCAAGGGCCUCGCGCGAUUGGAGCGGCCGAUAUCGGAUUAGCUAGUUGGUGGGGUAAAGGCUCACCAAGGCGACGAUCCGUAGCGGGUCUGAGAGGACGACCCGCCACACUGGAACUGAGACACGGUCCAGACUCCUACGGGAGGCAGCAGUGGGGAAUUUUGGACAAUGGGGGCAACCCUGAUCCAGCCAUUCCGCGUGAGUGAAGAAGGCCUUCGGGUUGUAAAGCUCUUUCAGCAGGAGCGAAACGGUCGUUUUUAAUACAGACGGCUAAUGACGGUACCUGCAGAAGAAGCACCGGCUAACUACGUGCCAGCAGCCGCGGUAAUACGUAGGGUGCGAGCGUUAAUCGGAAUUACUGGGCGUAAAGCGUGCGCAGGCGGCGACAUAAGACAGAUGUGAAAUCCCCGGGCUCAACCUGGGAACUGCGUUUGUGACUGUGUUGCUAGAGUGUAGCAGAGGGGGGUGGAAUUCCACGUGUAGCAGUGAAAUGCGUAGAGAUGUGGAGGAACACCGAUGGCGAAGGCAGCCCCCUGGGUUAACACUGACGCUCAUGCACGAAAGCGUGGGGAGCAAACAGGAUUAGAUACCCUGGUAG